GGUGUUUGCCACGAGUUGGACUUUAGGUUUUGAGCUCAAACAUGUCAUGAUAAGUGGUGAUGAUCAUGUUAAGGUUAAUCCAUGAAAGUAAGCCCCAAUUUAAACUUGGAUAAUACAUUUUUGCUUACAUAUAGACCCAUAUACACUUGCUCUGGGUCCACAUGUCAGCACAUAUCACACAUAUAUAUAUAUACCCCAGCCCUCCACACUCCCUCUCUCAAUCCCCCAUUUGUCCCAACGCCAAGCACCAGGAAACAGAGGGAGAGAGGAAAAGGAGAGGAGAGGAGAAGAAGAAGAGGAGAGUAGAAGAAGGAGGAGGACGCCCAGCCCUUGCUGGAGGAUGACACCAGUGAUGAGCUGCUGCUCCCCACGCCCUCAGCCUUGCCAAAGAUGGUGAAGACAGCCCCAAGCUUCAUCUUCUUCAAGCUUAAGCCAUGGAGGAGUCCCCAUCUCGAUCUCCUUCCUUGCUGUGUUCCUGGCUGAACUACUCGUACUGGAGCAUCCCAAGACCGUGGUGAGCACAUCCCAAAAGCCCAUCUCCAUCUUCCCCAUCUCCCCCUCCCUUUACUGCAGAAAGCAGCAACCCUGCUCCAGUGUCCAAUGGUCUUCCAUGAAGAUUGGUCUUCCCCACCUCUUCCUGCUUCCCUAGGGUUUGUGGGUGACCAUGGUGAGUUGGAUUUCGCCCUUCACUGAAUGAGUUUAGUGUUUAGGUAGAGUUUGGCCAUGGGAAUAAGUGGAUUAGUGAGGGAGAAAAGUUGUUGGAAUGUUGUUCCUCGGAUUUCAGACUGACAGUUUCUGCAGAUUUUCUUGGGGAAGAAAUCAAGGCAACUUAGAAGAUGAAAUAGGUGUUUUCGUCAACUACAAAGUUGUAGAGGACCUUCAGAUCUACUAGCUCGUGAAAUAUCAUGAUUUUAUCCCAUCAGGUCUUGUCUAUGCUUUGGACACAGAUGUCUUCAUGGGGUUAAUUGACCUUGUUAACUAUGAAAUCAUCUUAAGAUGAUAAUAAUAAAGUUGUAGGUACGCUAGAUGAACCACGUGAAGGGCAUGACGGUGGACCUAUCGGGAUGAUGGGAGGACUACAUAAGUGUUGUGAACUUGGAUGCCGUCAAGAUGGCGCAAGCUAACUAAUCUGACUCGGUGUCACAUUCCAG